rnacentral:rRNA from 1 species
UCCUGCCAGUAGUCAUAUGCUUGUCUCAAAGAUUAAGCCAUGCAUGUCUAAGUACAGGCCGAAACAAGGCGAAACCGCGAAUGGCUCAUUAAAUCAGUUAUGGUUCAUUGGAUGUUACCUUGUUUUACUUGGAUAACUGUGGUAAUUCUAGAGCUAAUACAUGAUACCCAGCUCCGACCGCAAGGAAAGAGCGCUUUUAUUAGAUCAAAACCAAUCGGGCUUCGGUCCGUUCUCACUGUGGUGACUCUGAAUAACUUUGAGCUGAGCGCAUGGUCCUUGAACCGGCGCCAUAUCCUUCAAGUGUCUGCCUUAUCAGCUUUCGAUUGUAGGUUAUGCGCCUACAAUGGCUAUAACGGGUAACGGGGAAUCAGGGUUCGAUUCCGGAGAGGGAGCCUGAGAAACGGCUACCACAUCUAAGGAAGGCAGCAGGCACGCAAAUUACCCACUCCCGGCUCGGGGAGGUAGUGACGAAAAAUAACGAUGCGGGACUCUUCCGAGGCCUCGCAAUCGGAAUGAGCACACUUUAAAUCCUUUAACGAGGAUCUAUUGGAGGGCAAGUCUGGUGCCAGCAGCCGCGGUAAUUCCAGCUCCAAUAGCGUAUAUUAAAGUUGCUGCGGUUAAAAAGCUCGUAGUUGGAUCUCAGUUCCGGACCGACGGUUCACCGCCCGGUGCUUACUGUCGGCUUCCGAACAGCCGCACGCCGGCUCGGCCAGGGUGCUCUUCAUCGAGUGUCCUGGUUUCGGCCGGCACGUUUACUUUGAAAAAAUUAGAGUGCUCAGCGCAGGCUGCAACGCCUGAAUAAUCUGUGCAUGGAAUAAUGGAAUAGGACCUCGGUUCUAUUUUGUUGGUUUUCGGAACCCGAGGUAAUGAUUAAUAGGAACUGUCGGGGGCAUUCGUAUUGCGACGUUAGAGGUGAAAUUCUUGGAUCGUCGCAAGACGGACUACUGCGAAAGCAUUUGCCAAGAAUGUUUUCAUUAAUCAAGAACGAAAGUUAGAGGUUCGAAGGCGAUCAGAUACCGCCCUAGUUCUAACCAUAAACGAUGCCAACCAGCGAUCCGCCGGCGUUAUUCCCAUGACUCGGCGGGCAGCUUCCGGGAAACCAAAGUCUCUGGGUUCCGGGGGAAGUAUGGUUGCAAAGCUGAAACUUAAAGGAAUUGACGGAAGGGCACCACCAGGAGUGGAGCCUGCGGCUUAAUUUGACUCAACACGGGGAACCUCACCAGGCCCGGACACCGGAAGGAUUGACAGAUUGAGAGCUCUUUCUCGAUUCGGUGGGUGGUGGUGCAUGGCCGUUCUUAGUUGGUGGAGCGAUUUGUC